rnacentral:rRNA from 1 species
UACGAAGGGGGCUAGCGUUGCUCGGAAUUACUGGGCGUAAAGGGCGCGUAGGCGGAUGAUUAAGUCGAGGGUGAAAGCCCAGGGCUCAACCCUGGAAUAGCCUUUAAUACUGGAUGUCUUGAGUUCGGGAGAGGUGAGUGGAAUUCCGCGUGUAGCAGUGAAAUGCGUAGAUAUGCGGAGGAACACCGAUGGCGAAGGCAAUCCCCUGGACCUGUACUGACGCUCAUGCACGA